AUUGAACGCUAGCGGGAUGCCUUACACAUGCAAGUCGAACGGAGUGGCGAACGGGUGAGUAAUGUAUAGGAACGUGCCCAGUAGCGGUGGAUAACUCCGCGAAAGCGUAGCUAAUACCGCAUACUAUUGGCGCGGCCGAUAUCGGAUUAGCUAGUUGGUGGGGUACCGGCUCACCAAGUAGACGAUCCGUAGCGGGUUUGAGAGGACGACCAGCCACACUGGGACUGAGACACGGCCCAGACUCCUACGGGAGGCAGCAUGGGGGAAUUUUGGACAAUGGGGGAAACCCUGAUCCAGCCAUCCCGCGUGUGUGAUGAGGGCCUUCGGGUUGUAAAGCACUUUUGGCAGGAAAGCGGUACCUGCAUAAUAAGCACCGGCUAACUACGUGCCAGCAGCCGCGGUAAUAC
rnacentral:rRNA from 1 species